GACGACAUGCUUUGCUGUGGCAUUCUGGGCUCCUUAAAAUCUGUUUCUCUCUGGACUCUCCUGGCGAAUCUUCUACCUGCUCUGCCUCAAGCCCUGUUCCUUAGGGCAGUAGUGUUGGCCAAGAGUUCAGAAAAAAGGGUAAAGAAUAAACUGACUUGGUGAAAGGGGCCCUGUCCAGGCACCCAGGCCUGGCCAUCUGCCUAUGCAAGAAACAUCUUGGCACAUUUACAGAAAUCUGAAAACCUGGCCUCACCUGAGAGAUCUGGAUUCAUUUGGUCAGAAGAGGAUCACUGGUAUGUUUGUUUUUGCUGCAGCAGGCAACCUUACAGAGUCUGAUAAAAGGAUAUGUUUUCCGCCCAGCUUUACGUGGGGAGUAGCAGAAAAUAGAGAGGAAGAACCUAGCCCAGCAAUGACCACCGGGACCUGUCACCGGGAGACAGAAAUACUUUCUCUGAGUCCCUUUAUUUUGGAUCCUCUUUGUUACUUCAACUUAGCCACAGUCCUACCCAGCACUUUGCUUUGUUCCAUUCCUGUCCCCAUCACCGACGUGGCACUGCCCUCUGAAAGGACAUACAGCCCACAGACUGCUGGUCUGGUCAGGCAUCCUGGCCCUGAGGGUGGGUGAAGUCAGGGAGACAAUCUGGAUUCUCCUCUCUGAAGUAGGAAGUCCAGAAUCUGGUUUGAUGUGGGCACAGAGGAAUCUGGUUGUGGCCUCUCUGGAAUAUACCAGAACCGAUAAGGAUAUUAAGGACAAGGGUGAGGUCUGUUACAGCAACCCCUUCUCCCCAGCCUCUUUCACUUCCUCCUCUCCUGUUGCACAUUGUGUAUAUGUGGGUGGGUCCAGGUGUGUGGAUACUCUGGGGCCUCACAGAUCACCGUGAGUUUCUUUCUCUCUGAGGAUGUCUUGAAUUGGGCCUUGUUGGACUCCAAAAGCCUGGGCCAGGUGGGCAACAGAUUCUUGUCUGAUCUGAUGAACUGCUAUUACCUGGUUUAUGGUACCCCAGCGCCUGUAGCUGUAAGGACGGCAGAGGGGAAGGAAAGUGAUGGAACAGCAGCCCCAAGGCUGUCUCAGAGGGGCCCUAG